GUGGGUAGUUUGACUGGGGCGGUCUCCUCCUAAAGAGUAACGGAGGAGCACGAAGGUUGGCUAAUCCUGGUCGGACAUCAGGAGGUUAGUGCAAUGGCAUAAGCCAGCUUGACUGCGAGCGUGACGGCGCGAGCAGGUGCGAAAGCAGGUCAUAGUGAUCCGGUGGUUCUGAAUGGAAGGGCCAUCGCUCAACGGAUAAAAGGUACUCCGGGGAUAACAGGCUGAUACCGCCCAAGAGUUCAUAUCGACGGCGGUGUUUGGCACCUCGAUGUCGGCUCAUCACAUCCUGGGGCUGAAGUAGGUCCCAAGGGUAUGGCUGUUCGCCAUUUAAAGUGGUACGCGAGCUGGGUUUAGAACGUCGUGAGACAGUUCGGUCCCUAUCUGCCGUGGGCGCUGGAGAACUGAGGGGGGCUGCUCCUAGUACGAGAGGACCGGAGUGGACGCAUCACUGGUGUUCGGGUUGUCAUGCCAAUGGCACUGC
rnacentral:rRNA from 3 species